rnacentral:misc_RNA from 1 species
GAUGAAGAACGUAGUAAAAUGCGAUAUGUACUGCGCUGUGCGCGAAAUGCGCAGUCAUUCUUCGAAUACACAUUGUCCUGUCUGGCGAAUAGCCGGCAGGGCAUCUGCUUCAGGGUUGUUGAUUAGUUUUUGCCGCUUUUGCUUGUUCAUCAGCGACAGGUGUGUCACCACUAGUGUGUCCCCCCCCCCAUUUGUGUCCCCGCUGGUUCCAGCCGCGUGGGUUUGGUGUCUAGCAGUCUGGUUCAUUGCUUGCAUUGUUCCGUUUGUUGCUUGCCCAUUUUUACUGACCCGACCUGAAGUCAGGUGUGAGUACCCGCUGAACUUAAGCAUAUCAAUAAGCGGAGGA